rnacentral:rRNA from 1 species
AUACGUAGGAGGCAAGCGUUGUCCGGAAUUAUUGGGCGUAAAGCGCGCGCAGGUGGUUCCUUAAGUCUGAUGUGAAAGCCCCCGGCUCAACCGGGGAGGGUCAUUGGAAACUGGGGAACUUGAGUGCAGAAGAGGAUAGUGGAAUUCCAAGUGUAGCGGUGAAAUGCGUAGAGAUUUGGAGGAACACCAGUGGCGAAGGCGACUGUCUGGUCUGUAACUGACACUGAGGCGCGAAAGCGUGGGGAGCAAACAGGAUUAGAUACCCUGGUAGUCCACGCCGUAAACGAUGAGUGCUAAGUGUUGGGGGGUUUCCGCCCCUCAGUGCUGCAGCUAACGCAUUAAGCACUCCGCCUGGGGAGUACGGUCGCAAGACUGAAACUCAAAGGAAUUGACGGGG